GUCCACGCCGUAAACGAUGGAUACUAGGUGCUUCGGGUAUUGACCCCUGAGGUGCCGCAGCUAACGCAAUAAGUAUCCCGCCUGGGAAGUACGGCCGCAAGGCUAAAAACUCAAAGGAAUUGACGGGGGCCCCGCACAAGCGGUGGAGCAUGUGGUUUAAUUCGACGCAACGCGAAGAACCUUACCUGGGCUUGACAUUGAUGGAAUCCUGCAGAGAUGCGGGAGUACUCUUCGGAGACCUGAAAACAGGUGCUGCAUGGCUGUCGU
rnacentral:rRNA from 1 species